AUGAGAUGAGGAGUUAUGAGAUGCAGGGCAUGCUAAAUUUAUGAUCCAGACUAGUACUACAGUAUUAUGUGGUGCAUCUUGUGAUUUUGAAUUAGGCCUGAUGAUGAUGAGGGGAUUUAGCUCAGUUUAGACAUUAGUAGAUGGAAAUAUCAGUGGCGAUGUGAGGAAAAAAUAAGUGGAAUCAAUGAUCAUGGUGUUUAAGGGGAAAAUAUAGUUGAGAGAAUAUUUUAGAAGUGUGGCUAAUCUUGAAAGUAAGAAGUUGCAUUGCCUAAGGUUUGGUAAUUCUAUCCUAGUUUACGAGUUAUAUAUCUAUAUUCCCCGCC
rnacentral:lncRNA from 1 species